rnacentral:rRNA from 1 species
GGAUCUGGUAUAACCGCAUAGGACUAUCCCGAAACGGCCUGGUACCCUUUUUUUUGGUUCCGAAACGGAGUAGUAAUCCGGAGGCCAGCUGAGUAGCCGUAGUCAACUCUCUCACCCCAGCGAAGGAAUCGAGGAGGCGCGGCCAGAGUCGAGCACCGCGAACCCUCCUUCUCCGCCGUCUGCCACGGGCCACGGCUGCCGUCGAUGACCGCGACGCCGUCUUCCCGAGCUCUGGCCGCCGUGCCGUCGACCAUGGCGCUGCCGCCGCUGCUCCUCCGGCCUCCCCGAUCCUUCCGUCGCACUCCUGGAUCUAGAGUCGAUGUGAGCCAUGAGUCCGAUGAUCAAGAUCAAGAUGGACAACACCAAUGAACAAGUUCGGAAAAGAGAUCGACACAGUCAAAGAGUUAUUAAUCAAUAUUAGCAAGUAAGGCAACCAUCACCUGACCUGGUGAACCCU